UAGGGAAUAUUGCAAAAUGGGCGAAAGCCCGAUGCAGCAACGCCGCGUGGGCGAUGAAGGCCUUCGGGUCGUAAAGCCCUUUUUGAGGGGAUGAGGAAGGACAGUACCCUCAGAAUAAGCCUCGGCUAACUACGUGCCAGCAGCCGCGGUAAAACGUAGGAGGCGAGCGUUAUCCGGAUUCACUGGGUUUAAAGGGUGCGUAGGUGGGCAGAUAAGUCAGUGGUGAAAUCUUCCGGCUUAACCGGGAAACUGCCGUUGAUACUAUUUGUCUUGAAUAUUGCGGAGGUAAGCGGAAUAUGUCAUGUAGCGGUGAAAUGCUUAGAUAUGACAUAGAACACCAAUUGCGAAGGCAGCUUACUACACAAUCAUUGACACUGAGGCACGAAAGCGUGGGUAGCGAACA
rnacentral:rRNA from 1 species